CUUGCGUACUCUUAUAUUAUUGUCUAUGGUGUACUCCGGCUCCACUAUUCACGUCUCACGAUGUAGAGGUAGAUAUCUUAGGCCAAGAUGUUGUCUUCUCUACAUCGUUUACGCACAAUUCUCUCCUAGUCGGCCUCACCUGCUUCGGCACAGACCUAUAAACUAAGUUUAUACGUGCGACGGCCUACGUUUUCCGCAGCCUCCGAUCCGCACUCACACUCUCGCGACGACUCACUCAACCGAGCGUCCGAGUACGACGUCAUUCGCCCGAUUAACUGAACCGUCGGCCGAUUGGCCCUUACACGCUCUUCAGACACGCAGGCAGCUUACAUUUACCUAUCAUCUCGAGGAUUCUCGGUUUCGACGAUUCCAAUCAGGGUAGCUGUAAUACAGUAAAUUAUUGUAUUUCGACUACCUUGGUCCGGAUGUCAAUGCAUAGGUAUUGUUCAUUAGUGGAAUUCAAACGCCCUUGAAAAUCAAUAGUAAGUAUAAGUCCCGUUGACAAUCAUGGCAUAUGACAGUGGUGUAAAGGAAUAGCUUUACGUACUAAUAUAUAAUAUGUGUAGGUAAUCGAUUCACGUGUUAGUAUAUAAUUGUUACUCAGGACAGAAGCAUCUUUGAGAUGUUAUGAUCUCGUAGUUACGAAUAUUCCAUAUAGGGAACAUUUCGGCAAAACACUUAACAACUAAUCAAACUGAGCGGGCACAACAGAAUUGCCAUUAAGAGGCGGCAAUUUCAUUCACUGUGAGAAUAACAACCUUAAGGACACCUAGGUCCACGCGCCGACCAGAUCAAAGGAGCUGACAUCAUAUAUAGGGACGCCAGGAGCACAGCAUAAUCAGAUGUACCUGGACCAGAGCUGUUAACAACAACAGCUACUUCACUCCAUACUCAGCAAUAUUCUGCACCACAAACAACGAUGUUAUACAUUUAUUCUGUUCUAAUAAAUAACAUUGCAUUUACUGUUCUAAUUUGACUACCAUUUUAUUUCAAGUCAUCAUAAUUCUGGAUCCCUGAAGGGGCAGCACGUAACACUGGCGCAGUUGGCAGGAUUUCUUUCAAAGGAGGCAACCGUCAAAGGCUACCGUUGACAAGGAAGAUCUGCAGUAUUCCUUGCCGACAACUCUGAAGAAGAACCAAACACAAACAAAUCAACGUUGCAGCACCAUCACAUCGGUACAGAAUGUCAGCAUCAAAAAACACCGCAUUAUUAGUUGAUGUGUAUGCAACGUAACAGGCCACAAUAGCCACAUGGUCCAGUUAUGCACUCACUUCAUUCACUCACCUUCAACUAUGGUUAUGAUAGUUAAAUCCUAAACUCAUCUAUAUUCGUCAGGAUAUUUCAGAGAAUCCUGAUGCUGUGAUAUUGUGGCAAUUCUACUACAAGAACAUACGUUUUUAUGUGCAUACUUUAGACAAUCUAAAUGUCAAUAGCCACAGUGCUGGCACACAUGUUUUCAUCCGAUGAAUGCAAUUAUAGCUAUGUGAUAAAAGUAUGUGUGCCAAUGCUGCGGCAUUUAGAUUGUUUGAUGUGAGCAUAUAAAAACGACUGACCUUAUAGUUACAUGCAUCAAAAGUGCCACAAAUUAAGAACAAUUAUAUAUUAGGUAUCUGAAAUAUGUUCAUGAAAACAGAUGCUAAUUGAGACAAAGUUAUAACUUGACCUAACUAACAUGAUUACAUAUUUUGUUUGCUUUAGCAUUAUUAAAAUAAAUUGCAAGAAUUUGAAAAUAUUACAUUGUCAGAAAUAUUAUAUUUUUUUUUUUAUAAAAUUUACUUAUUGUUAUAUUUUAACGAACAAUAACAUUAAUGUUUAAAUAUAUUUUUUACAGUAA